rnacentral:rRNA from 1 species
AAAUUGAAGAGUUUGAUCAUGGCUCAGAUUGAACGCUGGCGGCAGGCCUAACACAUGCAAGUCGAACGGUAACAGGAAACAGCUUGCUGUUUCGCUGACGAGUGGCGGACGGGUGAGUAAUGUCUGGGAAACUGCCUGAUGGAGGGGGAUAACUACUGGAAACGGUAGCUAAUACCGCAUAACGUCGCAAGACCAAAGAGGGGGACCUUCGGGCCUCUUGCCAUCGGAUGUGCCCAGAUGGGAUUAGCUUGUUGGUGGGGUAACGGCUCACCAAGGCGACGAUCCCUAGCUGGUCUGAGAGGAUGACCAGCCACACUGGAACUGAGACACGGUCCAGACUCCUACGGGAGGCAGCAGUGGGGAAUAUUGCACAAUGGGCGCAAGCCUGAUGCAGCCAUGCCACGUGUAUGAAGAAGGCCUUCGGGUUGUAAAGUACUUUCAGCGGGGAGGAAGGGAGUAAAGUUAAUACCUUU